rnacentral:rRNA from 1 species
AUUGAACGCUGGCGGCAGGCCUAACACAUGCAAGUCGAGCGGAUGAAGGGAGCUUGCUCCUGGAUUCAGCGGCGGACGGGUGAGUAAUGCCUAGGAAUCUGCCUGGUAGUGGGGGAUAACGUCCGGAAACGGGCGCUAAUACCGCAUACGUCCUGAGGGAGAAAGUGGGGGAGCUUCGGACCGCACGCUAUCAGAUGAGCAUAGGUCGGAUUAGCUAGUUGGUGGGGUAAAGGCCUACCAAGGCGACGAGCCGUAACUGGUCUGAGAGGAUGAUCAGUCACACUGGAACUGAGACAGGGCCCCGACUCCUGAGGGAGGAAGCAGUGGGGAAUAUUGGACAAGGGGCGAGAGCGUGAUCCAGCCCUGCCGCGUGUGUGCAGAAGGUCUUAGGAUUGUAAAGCACUUUAAGUUGGGAGGAAGGGCAGUAAUUUCAUAUCUUGCUGUUUUGACGUUACCAACAGAAUAAGCCCCGGCUAACUUCGUG